rnacentral:snRNA from 1 species
UGCUCGCUUUGGCAGCAAUCUACCCAAACUGGAACAAUACAGAGAAGAUCUGCAUGGCCCCUUCGAAGGAUGACAUGCAAAAUUUAUGAAGCAUUCUGUAUCUUU